AUCUUCUGUUGCCAGAGUUACAAGAAUUCACACAAAACCAAUUGUUCUUUCUCAGUAUGGCGCAGGUUUGGUGUGGUGUGUACAGGCCGGAGUAUGCGACAAGAUUGGCUGCAACGGACUCGCAUAGCCCUGGAAUUUAUAGGGUUAUCGGAUCUCUCUCCAACUUCGACAAAUUCGGCGAUGCUUACAGUUGCAGCAAAGGAACAGACAACAUGUAUCCAAAUGAAGAAGAUACUUGUCGAGUUUGGUGAUCGAACCAUCAAUCGUCACUUUUAGAAAAACUGUAAACUUACGAUAAUGCGGAUGUCAUAAAAAGUUUUCCCAUUUCCAAAACCGGUUUUUUGUAAUCACUGAAAAAUGCUGGAAAAAUACAUAAAAGUCUACAUGGAAAUAGGCGGCUGCUAUGGCUCAAUUAGUUCCUAUUUUCAAUUAGGGUAUUAGUUAUUUCUGAAAAACGCUGUAAAAUAGGAAAAAAGUACUUUAAAUAAGAUAAAUAGAAGUGUUUUGUCUAUGGCUUUUAAACAUGUUCACUAAUUUUCUACGAAUAAGGUUUUGGUCUAGUAGCCGCAAUCAUUCGAAUGUAAUAAUAAAUGUCCCUAUUCUCAAAUUGAAGUCCUAAAAAUUACUGGAAAACGAUGUUAUGAACCAAAAGAGGUUUGAUUUCCUGGAUUUUAGAAUAUUUCCAUUCAUCAAUGACGAACAACGCUCUGACCCACUAUUAUCUGAAUGCCAUACAAAGUGUUCCCAAUCUUAAAUCCGCCACACAUGAACACUUAUUAAGUUCUACACCCAGCCCCAGCAUAAAAGAAAAAUAUGGAACUUUAACAAUUACAAAAACAAGAGCCUUCUAAAUUUUAGUCGUAAAACACCCAGUUCUCUAAACCUAAACUCUUUGCGUUUUUCAGUGAUUAUAAAUGCCCAGGCAUGCCCAUUAUUACUCUUUAACGAAUAUAAAAAAAACGAAAGACAAUGAAAUCUUGAUCGAUUUACAUUUUUUCUAAAAGUGACGAAAUCUUCAUCAAAUCAUUGAUUUGUUUCUAUUGAAACACUGGUGAAUCAAACAAAAAUGACGUCAUAAAUGAAUAAUGAUGUCAUAAUUACUCGUUCCAAAUCAUAUAUUAUUAUGUAAUAGUUCCAUUUAAUUAGAAUUUUUAUAUUACUCAAUAUUGUUUAAUUUUUCUUCAGUUACGCAUGGCCGUCGAAUAUACAUAACCUCAUACAAUUAUCUGUUUCUUUUACAAUAUAGUACAGCAGGUCUUCUCAACUGUUUUACCAAAGAUCUGUAAACAAAACUUUAAAAUAACUUGGGUCUAUUCUAUUUUGACAUCCUUGAACGCUCACUUCUCUGGCCGUAUAAUGAUUAUUCGCUGAUCAAGAUAGCGCUAUUCACAUUGUUUAUUAUUUCGUUACAGUCAUUUUUAUAAAUAGUCAAAUGCAAAUAUGAGCAAAUUAUAAAAUAACCAUUAAAACUAUAAAGUCAUAAAUAAAGCCUUCACAUAUCCAAAGUGGGGCCAAUGAUCUAAAACAGGAGUGUGCAACAUUUUUUGUCGGCGGGCUAUAUAACAAACUUCUGACAUCUAGCCGGGCCAUUCAAAAAAUUCAAUUUCCUUCGGGUACACAAUGAAUUAAAAAAUUCUCACCACAAAAAGGCUAUAGCUUAGUCUUACAGUAACAAAGGCAAAAAGACGAAAGAUUUAAAAUUAUGGAUUUUAACCCGUGUGUGCGCUUUUUUAAACAUAAACUGUUAGGUUAGAAUUUGAUGCUUGGUAGGAAAAUAUCGGAGUGUUGACAAGGGCCAGACUUAUUGUCUUGGCGGGCCAGGUUAUGGCCCGCCGGCCGCCUGUUGCACACCCCUGAUCUGAAAUAAGAAAUUAAGUACGGUCCGAAUCGAAUACUGGGAAGGUCCGGAUUCGGCCCGCCAGUUGAGUAUCCCUGCCCUACAGUAUAAUCUUGAAAUUCACCCAGUCCAGUAUCGACUUUCAAAAAUUCAAACAGAACUUUCAGUGGCAUAUUAUCCGCCCUUUUCCUUAUUGUAAUUCAGAAUAGGGAUCUUGCCUUUGCCAAC